rnacentral:rRNA from 1 species
UACGUAGGGGGCAAGCGUUGUCCGGAUUUAUUGGGCGUAAAGCGCUCGCAGGUGGUCCGAUACGUCGUGCGUGAAAGCCCCCCGGCUCAACUGGGGAGUGUCGUGCGAUACGGUCGGACUGGAGGCCAGUAGGGGGAUGCGGAAUUCCGGGUGUAGUGGUGGAAUGCGUAGAGAUCCGGAGGAACCCCAGAGGCGAAGGCGGCGCCCUGGCUCGCAACUGACGCUCAGACACGACAGCAUGGGGAGCGAACGGG